AUACGUAGGGUGCGAGCGUUGUUCGGAAUUAUUGGGCGUAAAGAGCGUGUAGGCGGUUAGUUAAGUCGGGUGUGAAAGCCCUCGGCUCAACCGAGGAAGUGCACUCGAAACUGACUAGCUAGAGAGUGGUAGAGGAAGGUGGAAUUCCAUGUGUAGAGGUGAAAUUCGUAGAUAUGUGGAGGAAUACCGGCGGCGAAGGCGGCCUUCUGGACCAUUUCUGACGCUGAGACGCGAAAGCGUGGGUAGCAAACAGGAUUAGAAACCCCGGUAGUCC
rnacentral:rRNA from 1 species